rnacentral:rRNA from 1 species
GAGAUAAAGUUUUAUGGGUGAAUAAAAUUAUAAAAAAUUGAUAGAAUAAGUUAAAUUAAUAAAAAUUAAUUAAUUUUUAAAAAUUAUAAAGAGUAGUAUUGUAUAAGAAUAGGAUUUAAGUAUUAUAAAGUAAAUUUAAUUUGUUGUAUCUUUUGUAUCAGAGAUUAUUAAAAUAGAAUUUUUUAAUUUAAAAAAUUUCUCGAAGUUAAAAGAGCGAAUAAAGUAUGAUAGUUAAUGUUGAAUAAUUAUUAUAAAUAUUUUAUUAGUGAAUAUAUUUUAGUAAGUUUUGAGGAUAUCUAGUUUUUUUUUAUUUAAAUUUAAUUUAGUUUUAAUUUUAAAUAUUAUUUUUAGUGGAAAUAUAUGGAUAUUAAAGAAUUAAAAAAAAAAAUUAUGGGAUAAACUAUAGUUUUUUAUUAAAAUUAUAAGAAUAUUAAAAAUUUAUAAUAAUAUUCAUGAUAUUUGAAAUUUUUAUAAAAAAUUUAAUAAUUUAUAGGGAAGGAGGUUAUAAAAAUUAUAUUAUAAUUUAAGAAAAAAUUUAAUUGUAUAAAAAGAUAUUUAUUAAAAUAAUAAAAAUAAAUUAAUAAUGAUAAUAUUAGUAAAAUAAAAAAUUUAAAAUAUAAUUGUAAUUAAAAAUUAAUUUUAGUAAUUAGGCAAAAUAUAAAUUCACCUGUUUAAUAAAAACAUGGUUUUUUGAGUAUAAUUUAAGAUUGUUUCUGCCCACUGAAGAGUAAUUUAAAUGGCUGCAGUAUUUUGACUGUACAAAGGUAGCAUAAUCAAUAGUUUUUUAAAUGGAAACUGGGAUGAAAGAAGUGAUGAGAUUUAUACUGUCUUAAAUUAAAUAAUUGAAUUUAUUAAUUAAGUAAGAAUACUUAAAUGAUAGUGUGGGACGAGAAGACCCUAUAGAAUUUUAUAUAAAUUUAUUAUUUAUUUAGUAGGUAUUUUUAAUAGAUUUAUAUUUUAUUGGGAGGAUAGUUAAAUUAUUAGAACUUUAAUAAAAUUUUAUAGAUCAUUAAUUUAUGAGUAGGUGAAGAAUGGUUUUUAAAUUUAAGUAGAAUUAAUUACCUUAGGGAUAACAGCGUAAUAUUUUUAGAAAGAUCUUAUUAAUAAAAGUGAUUGCGACCUCGAUGUUGAAUUAAGAUAAAAAUUAAAUGAAGAAGUUUAAUAUUUAAGUCUGUUCGACUUUUAAAAUCUUACAUGAUUUGAGUUUAGAUCGGCGUGAGCCAGAUCGGUUUCUAUCUACAUUAAGUUUAAAAUUAUUUGUACGAAAGGACUUUAAUUUUUAAUUAAAUUGAAUGAGAGUAUUAGAUUACUUUGGCAGAUUAGUGCAUUAAAUUUAGAAUUUAAUAUAAAAUAUAAUAAUUA